CGUACCUACGGGGCGCAGCAGUGGGGGAUAUUGCACAAUGGGGGGAACCCUGAUGCAGCGACGCCGCGUGGGUGAAGAAGUAUUUCGGUAUGUAAAGCCCUAUCGGCAGGGAAGAAAUUGGACGGUACCUGACUAAGAAGCCCCGGCUAACUACGUGCCAGCAGCCGCGGGAAUACGUAGGGGGCAAGCGUUAUCCGGAUUCAAUGGGGGUAAAGGGAGCGUAGACGGCCAUGCAAGCCUGGAGUGAAAGCCCGGGGCCCAACCCCGGGACUGCUCUGGGAACUGUGCGCCUGG
rnacentral:rRNA from 1 species